AUAAAUAAUGAAUUAAUCUUUUAUCGAAAUUAUCCAUAGUUUUAUCACAUUUAUUGGUUCUGGUAAAUUUAUAUUUACAGAAAUAAUUCUCCCGCUAUGCGAAUGCACUACAACAGAAUUAGGUUAUAGGGACACAUGUUUGGGACACUUUUGAGUAAGUGUCCCAUUUAUGCUAAAACCUAAAAACACAUCUACUAAUGCCUAAAUAUAAAGUCCAAUCCAAUAAAAAAUAAAAGAUUACUCUACUCAACCCACCACAUCCAGUCCAUUUGGCCCGAUUACAAACAGAAAAGAAAAAAAAAAAAAGAAAAAUCAAUUACCAUCUUUUCUUCUCUCUUCAUUCAAUCCACUGAAAUUCUAGACGAAGAGCCUUUACUGUCGUCCUCCUCCGCCACCGCAGCUAACGAGAUAGAGUUUCGGCGGUUGCUAAAUGCUUAAAUAAGUGUUGGUAAAUUAGCAGCACUCUUUUAGGUUAUAGCGACACUCUUUAACUGUCACUAUAUACCUAGCGACCCCACAUAUAGCAACACUUUUUAAAAGUGUCGGUAAUUUUA
rnacentral:lncRNA from 1 species